GAGGGGCCCGAGCGUUAGGCGGAAUCACUGGGCUUAAAGCGUGCGCAGGCGGAUUGGCAAGCGUCUUGUGAAAACCCACGGCUCAACCGUGGAAUUGCAGGGCGAACUGCCAGUCUUGAGGCAGGUAGGGGUCAACGGAACUGUCGGUGGAGCGGUGAAAUGUGUAGAUAUCGACAGGAACGCCGGUGGCGAAGGCGGUUGACUGGGCCUGUCCUGACGCUCAGGCACGAAAGCGUGGGGAGCAAACAGGAUUAGAUACCCUGGUAGUCCACGCCGUAAACGAUGCACACUAGGUCGCGGCUGCUCUGACGUAGUCGCGGCCGAAGCAAAAGUGUUAAGUGUGCCGCCUGGGAGUACGGUCGCAAGGCUA
rnacentral:rRNA from 1 species